UCGGGAAUUUUGGGCAAUGGGCGAAAGCCUGACCCAGCAACGCCGCGUGAAGGAUGAAGUAUUUCGGUAUGUAAACUUCGAAAGAAUAGGAAGAAUAAAUGACGGUACUAUUUAUAAGGUCCGGCUAACUACGUGCCAGCAGCCGCGGUAAUACGUAGGGACCAAGCGUUGUUCGGAUUUACUGGGCGUAAAGGGCGCGUAGGCGGCAAUUCAAGUCAUCUGUGAAAUCUCCGGGCUUAACUCGGAACGGUCAGAUGAUACUGCUUUGCUAGAGUGCAGAAGGGGCAAUCGGAAUUCUUGGUGUAGCGGUGAAAUGCGUAGAUAUCAAGAGGAACACCUGAGGUGAAGACGGGUUGCUGGGCUGACACUGACGCUGAGGCGCGAAAGCCAGGGGGAGCAAACGGGAUUAGAUACCCAAGUAGUCCCUGAGCGGGCUGGCAAGGCGCAU
rnacentral:rRNA from 1 species